AAGGAUUUCCCCGAUGAGGAGCGAGUGUCUCCUCUUGUGCUACUGAAGCUCCAAGUCUGUGCAAUUUUCAAUCACAGGCUUGCGGUACUUUGAAAAUCUCCGGGGGUUGUCAAGAGUUUCGUCCACUGAAAAAUUUAGAGGCAAAUCCGAGCAUAUGCUACCAAUGAACGGAAAAAAAUACCGAAUGCGGGAUCUAUUACAGUAUCUGGGUGCCCCCUAGCGUAUGAAUAAUUUCUGCCUGGAUUCCAGCUAUAAUAGAAAAGCCAUCUUAAGGGCAAACGGGCUUCGAUGUCUCGUCGGGCGCCAACACAAAAGUAACGUGUGCCCAUUUUAUUCUGAUUACUGCUUUAGGAUUUUCUUGUAUUUGGCUCGGACGCCGCUGAAUUACUCGGGUGGGUCUUCGCCAUACCUUUUCGUCUAUGUAUUCGGAUGCUCACCGGAGUGUUUUUUUGUGUUGUCAGCCUAUUGUUCUAGGUAGCCCAACCACUGCCUCGUUCAGCCUGAGCGCUACACUUUUUCAUCUGGUCAUGUCCCCGUUCCUUCCCCCUUUAACCAAAAAACUGGCUGUCAAUAGAAACAUGUGCUUUCCUUUAAUUAAACCUUCUUCAUCUGGAUUCUAAGUUUGCUAUGAUACCAGCGAGCGGCAAAACCUUUCGAUGGAUCUGACGAGAGGAAUGCGCUUGGCUUAUAGCUGAAACCACGGAGCGGGGCAUGCGAAGUUUAGAAAGCCCAAGAGCCUGUGGGCUUGGACAGCGGGGAGGCAGAAGAACAUGUCUGAAAGGCUCCUGGAGAUCAUUCUCUGUGCCUUCUCUUUCUCACCCUGCUGCUGUCACACUCAUAGCGGCUCUUCAGAUGUAAAAGCUGCCCUCUCAAUUAAUCAAACGUCUUCAGUACUUAUGAAGCUGUGAUUCAAUCUAGGCAUUUGCUAUAAUAUUUUGAUAUUUCAGAUUUGUACCUUUUAUCAAAUCCUACAGCCACACACUCACACCCACCCACACAAUACACCCCCCCCCCUCAUCUCCCCCCCACCUCACACACACACACACACACACACACACACACACACACACACCUAGUGAACAUGCAAAAUACCUUACAAUCAAAUCAAUACUUGAAUAAAUAUAAAACACAUUUUGUGCACGUAAAUUAAGGAUUUUAGUUACACAUAAAAAUGUAAUUAUAAUGUUUUGCAGUGCUGCUUCUGUGUGUGUGGUGGACCAUGCAUGUGUUUUGCACUCAUUAUAAUCGUGUUUAGAUUGUCUCUGUCUGUCUGUCCGUCUUCUUCUUCUUUCUCGGCAGUUGGUCGGGAGACUCCGCCCCCACGGUGCGUAACGCUGGCAGCGGAGCGCAGGCCCCGCCUCCGUCUCUAGGACGUCUGGGGCGUCCAGACAGGAGGCGUCGCGCGGGGCGGGCGGAGUCACCCGCUGAAAUAUGCACGCGGCAAAGAUUGAUGGGCCGCGUCCGCGCUCGGAGAAGCUCCACUUGGCCGUAAAUCCGUCCUCUGACACCGGGGCGAAUGACGUCGUUCGCGCUCGGGCGUCUCUCUUCGGAUCGGCAGCUUCAGACGGCGCGUCAGACAAAAGCGAGUUCUUUUUGCUCAAAUUAAUAAAUGCUAAAUAUGGAAUCAAGGCAUUACUGUAUGACAUAUUAAAUCACUGUGCUGGUUAUAUAUUUCAUUUAAAAUCACUUUAUUGACAUGAUUAUGUUCAACCAGGUUUUACAGAGAAAGACAAAUCCCUUUUUAUGACUCUGAAGAGGGUUCAUAAACAAUGAUUUAGCAUAGUGGACUCUUGAUUUAGAACAAUGAACGCAUAGUUUCUUAGCAUUUAAUAAAGCAUGCGGUUAUGCA